rnacentral:misc_RNA from 1 species
GAUGAAGAACGUAGCGAAAUGCGAUAAGUAAUGUGAAUUGCAGAAUUCAGUGAAUCAUCGAAUCUUUGAACGCACAUUGCGCCCGCCAGUAUUCUGGCGGGCAUGCCUGUCUGAGCGUCAUUUCAACCCUCAUGCCCCUAGGGCGUGGUGUUGGGGAUCGGCCAAAGCCCGCGAGGGACGGCCGGCCCCUAAAUCUAGUGGCGGACCCGUCGUGGCCUCCUCUGCGAAGUAGUGAUAUUCCGCAUCGGAGAGCGAUGAGCCCCUGCCGUUAAACCCCCAACUUUCCAAGGUUGACCUCAGAUCAGGUAGGAAUACCCGCUGAACUUAAGCAUAUCAAGCGGAGGA